UUGGUGACCAGCGGAGGGAUCAUUACCGAGUUUACAACUCCCAAACCCAAUGUGAACGUUACCAAACUGUUGCCUCGGCGGGAUCUCUGCCCCGGGUGCGUCGCAGCCCCGGACCAAGGCGCCCGCCGGAGGACCAACCAAAACUCUUAUUGUAUACCCCCUCGCGGGUUUUUUACUAUCUGAGCCAUCUCGGCGCCCCUCGUGGGCGUUUCGAAAAUGAAUCAAAACUUUCAACAACGGAUCUCUUGGUUCUGGCAUCGAUGAAGAACGCAGCGAAAUGCGAUAAGUAAUGUGAAUUGCAGAAUUCAGUGAAUCAUCGAAUCUUUGAACGCACAUUGCGCCCGCCAGUAUUCUGGCGGGCAUGCCUGUCCGAGCGUCAUUUCAACCCUCGAACCCCUCCGGGGGGUCGGCGUUGGGGAUCGGCCCUUUACGGGGCCGGCCCCGAAAUACAGUGGCGGUCUCGCCGCAGCCUCUCCUGCGCAGUAGUUUGCACACUCGCAUCGGGAGCGCGGCGCGUCCACAGCCGUUAAACACCCCAAACUUCUGAAAUGUUGACCUCGGAUCAGGUAGGAAUACCCGCUGAACUUAAGCAUAUCAAUAAGGCGGA
rnacentral:rRNA from 1 species